GACGAACGCUGGCGGCGUGCCUAAUACAUGCAAGUUGAGCGAUGAAGCUUGGUGCUUGCCCCAAUUUGAAGAGCAGCGAACGGGUGAGUAAAGCGUGGGGAAUCUGCCUUUGAGCGGGGGACAACAUUUGGAAACGAAUGCUAAUACCGCAUAACAACUUUAAACAUAAGUUUUAAGUUUGAAAGAUGCAAUUGCAUCACUCAAAGAUGAUCCCGCGUUGUAUUAGCUAGUUGGUGAGGUAAAGGCUCACCAAGGCGAUGAUACAUAGCCGACCUGAGAGGGUGGUCGGCCACAUUGGGACUGAGACACGGCCCAAGCUCCUACGGGAGGCAGCAGUAGGGAAUCUUCGGCAAUGGACGAAAGUCUGACCGAGCAACGCCGCGUGAGUGAAGAAGGUUUUCGGGUCGUAAAACUCUGUUGGUAGAGAAGAACGUUGGUGGGAGUGGAAAGCUCAUCAAGUGACGGUAACUACCCAGAAAGGGACGGCUAACUACGUG
rnacentral:rRNA from 1 species